GAACGCUGGCGGCGUGCCUAAUACAUGCAAGUCGAGCGAACAGACGAGGAGCUUACUCCUCUGACGUUAGCGGCGGACGGGUGAGUAACACGUGGAUAACCUACCUAUAAGACUGGGAUAACUUCGGGAAACCGGAGCUAAUACCGGAUAACAUGUUGAACCGCAUGGUUCAACAGUGAAAGACGGUCUUGCUGUCACUUAUAGAUGGAUCCGCGUCGCAUUAGCUAGUUGGUAAGGUAACGGCUUACCAAGGCAACGAUGCGUAGCCGACCUGAGAGGGUGAUCGGCCACACUGGAACUGAGACACGGUCCAGACUCCUACGGGAGGCAGCAGUAGGGAAUCUUCCGCAAUGGGCGAAAGCCUGACGGAGCAACGCCGCGUGAGUGAAGAAGGUCUUCGGAUCGUAAAACUCUGUUAUUAGGGAAGAACAAAUGUGUAAGUAACUAUGCACGUCUUGACGGUACCUAAUCAGAAAGCCACGGCUAACUACGUG
rnacentral:rRNA from 1 species